AUUCUCUGGUUUUUCUUCAGCUCACAUGCAUCUUUCACCUUUUACUAAAGAUUUCCAUGGAGAGAGACAUUUAUGUGUUUAUAACUAUUUUUUUAGCAGUUUAUUUAUAUAUUU
rnacentral:snRNA from 1 species